rnacentral:pre_miRNA from 1 species
UUGGUUUGUCCUAAGUCAAAUUUGACCAACUUUGACCAAGUUUAUAGAAAAAUAUAACAAUAACUAUACUACCAAACAUAUAUACUAUUAAAACAUAUUACAUGGUCGAUUCAAUGAAACAAAUUUGGUAGAUGUUGUUAUAUUUUUCUAUAAAUUUGGUCAAAGUUGGAUAAGUUUGACUUAGGACAAACCAAA